rnacentral:rRNA from 1 species
CAGGCCUAACACAUGCAAGUCGAACGGAGUUCUUCGGAACUUAGUGGCGGACGGGUGAGUAACGCGUGAGAAUCUGGCUUCAGGUUCGGGACAACAGUCGGAAACGAUUGCUAAUACCGGAUGUGCCCUUGGGUGAAAGAUUUAUCACCUGAACAUGAGCUCGCGUCUGAUUAGCUACUUGGUGUGGUAAGAGCGCACCAAGGCACCGAUCAGUAGCUGGUCUGAGAGGAUGACCAGCCACACUGGGACUGAGACACGGCCCAGACUCCUACGGGAGGCAGCAGUGGGGAAUUUUGCACAAUGGGCGCAAGCCUGAUGCAGCCAUGCCGCGUGUAUGAAGAAGGCCUUCGGGUUGUAAAGUACUUUCAGCGGGGAGGAAGGCGAUCAGGUUAAUAACCUUGUCGAUUGACGUUACCCGCAGAAGAAGCACCGGUUAACUCCGUGCCAGCAGCCGCGGUAAU